AACGAACGCUGGCGGCAGGCUUAACACAUGCAAGUCGAGCGCCCCACAAGGGGAGCGGCAGACGGGUGAGUAACGCGUGGGAAUCUACCCAUCCCUACGGAAUAGCUCCGGGAAACUGGAAUUAAUACCGUAUACGCCCUACGGGGGAAAGAUUUAUCGGGGAUGGAUGAGCCCGCGUUGGAUUAGCUAGUUGGUGGGGUAAAGGCCUACCAAGGCGACGAUCCAUAGCUGGUCUGAGAGGAUGAUCAGCCACAUUGGGACUGAGACACGGCCCAAACUCCUACGGGAGGCAGCAGUGGGGAAUAUCGGACAAUGGGGGCAACCCUGAUCCAGCCAUGCCGCGUGAGUGAUGAAGGCCUUAGGGUUGUAAAGCUCUUUCACCGGGGAAGAUAAUGACGGUACCCGGAGAAGAAGCCCCGGCUAACUUCGUGCCAGCCGCCGCGGUAA
rnacentral:rRNA from 1 species